rnacentral:lncRNA from 1 species
CAAGGAGGGCAAAGGUGGGGGCUGCGGGACCCCGGGGUCCCCUCCGUGGUGGGGACAUGGUACCCAGGCCCUGGGGCCACUCCCAGUUGGGGACAAGGUGCCCAGACCUUGGGGGUCCCCUCUGUGUUGGGGACACAGUGCCCAGACCCUGGGGUCCCCUCCCAGUUGGGGACACGGUGCCCAGACCCUGGGGCCACUCCCAGUUGGGGACACGGUGCCCAGACCUUGGGGUCCCCUCGUGUUGGGGACACGGUGCCCAGACUUGGGGGUCCCUUCUGUGUUGGGGACAAGGUGCCCAGACCCUGGGGCCACUCCCAGUUGGGGACACGGUGCCCAGACCUUGGGGGUCCCCUCGUGUUGGGGACACGGUGCCCAGACCGCAGGGUCCCCUCCCAGUUGGGGACAUGGUACCCAGACCCUAGGGUCACUCCCAGUUGGGGACACGGUGCCCAGACCCCGGGGUCCCCUCCCAGUUGGGGACACAGUGCCCAGGCUUGGGGGUCCCCUCGUGUUGGGGACACGGUGCCCAGACCCUGGGGCCACUCCCAGUUAGGGACACGGUGCCCAGACCCCAGGGGUCCCCUUUGUUUUGGGGGCACAGUGCCCAGACCCCGGGGUCCCCUCGUGUUGGGGACACGGCGCUGUCCCCUCGCCUCCCCCCGCUCUCUGGGCAGGGUCCUCGCAGCCGCGCGUGCCCCUUGGGGACAUCGUG